ACUCCUCACGGGGAGGCAGCAGUGGGGAAUAUUGCACAAUGGGCGCAAGCCUGAUGCAGCCAUGCCGCGUGUGUGAAGAAGGCCUUCGGGUUGUAAAGCACUUUCAGUCGUGAGGAAGGUAGUGUAGUUAAUAGCUGCAUUAUUUGACGUUAGCGACAGAAGAAGCACCGGCUAACUCCGUGCCAGCAGCCGCGGUAAUACGGAGGGUGCGAGCGUUAAUCGGAAUUACUGGGCGUAAAGCGCAUGCAGGUGGUUUGUUAAGUCAGAUGUGAAAGCCCGGGGCUCAACCUCGGAAUUGCAUUUGAAACUGGCAGACUAGAGUACUGUAGAGGGGGGUAGAAUUUCAGGUGUAGCGGUGAAAUGCGUAGAGAUCUGAAGGAAUACCGGUGGCGAAGGCGGCCCCCUGGACAGAUACUGACACUCAGAUGCGAAAGCGUGGGGAGCAAACAGGAUUAGAUACCCUGGUAGGAUAGCGU
rnacentral:rRNA from 1 species